CCACCGGCGAGACUACUGAUGAGGACUAGUCCUCAUAUUUCUAUCCCUAUCUACUUAUGUUCUAUUUUGCUAUCAUACUAUUAGGAUCUCUUUUCAGAUUUAUUCAAUUAUGUUAUGACUUGAGUUUAUCUAUUGUUGAUCUUGCAUGUGUUUGGAUUGUCUAACAGAGCUAACCUCGCUGACUAAUAGUCAUAUUGUGAUGAAAGGUUACGAAAAUAUCUUCUCUUGUCAAACAUCAAACUAAGUAUUUAUGAUCUAUUCUCUAACCAAUCUUAGACUGAAUCUCCCUGAGGACAGUGAAAUUUAAGUUUGUGGGAGAUAUUUACCGAUACUAGUUUGUUAUUUGAUUCUUAUUAAAAUGUUU